rnacentral:rRNA from 1 species
CCCUUAGACGUUCUGGGCCGCACGCGCGCUACACUGACCAGUGCAACAAGCAUCCGUCCUUGGCCGACAGGCUCGGGCAAUCUUUGAACGCUGGUCGUGAUGGGGAUAGACUUUUGCAAUUUUUGGUCUUCAACGAGGAAUUCCUAGUAAACGCAAGUCAUCAGCUUGCAUUGAUUACGUCCCUGCCCUUUGUACACACCGCCCGUCGCACCUACCGAUUGAAUGGUCCGGUGAAGCCUCCGGAUUGGCGCGCACCUCGGUGCCGCCGAGAAGUUGGCUAAACCUUACCAUUUAGAGGAAGGUGAAGUCGUANCA